rnacentral:rRNA from 1 species
UGGGGAAUUUUGCGCAAUGGGCGCAAGCCUGACGACGCAACGCCGCGUGGAGGAUGAAGGUCUUCGGAUUGUAAACUCCUGUUGCCCGGGACGAAUGGCCACGACCUAACACGUCGUGGUGUGACGGUACCGGGUGAGGAAGCCCCGGCUAACUCUGGGCCAGCAGCCGCGGUAAUACAGAGGGGGCAAGCGUUGUUCGGAAUUACUGGGCGUAAAGGGCGCGUAGGCGGCCCGCUAAGUCGAACGUGAAAUCCCUGGGCUCAACCCAGGAACUGCGUCCGAUACUGGCAGGCUUGAAUCCGGGAGAGGGAUGUGGAAUUCCAGGUGUAGCGGUGAAAUGCGUAGAUAUCUGGAGGAACACCGGUGGCGAAGGCGGCAUCCUGGACCGGUAUUGACGCUGAUGCGCGAAAGCCAGGGGAGCAAAC